rnacentral:rRNA from 1 species
GACGAACGCUGGCGGCGUGCCUAAUACAUGCAAGUAGAACGCUGAAGAGAGGAGCUUGCUCUUCUUGGAUGAGUUGCGAACGGGUGCGUAACGCGUAGGUAACCUGCCUUGUAGCCGGGGAUAACUAUUGGAAACGAUAGCUAAUACCGCAUAACAAUGGAUGACACAUGUCAUUUAUUUGAAAGGGGCAAUUGCUCCACUACAAGAUGGACCUGCGUUGUAUUAGCUAGUAGGUGAGGUAAUGGCUCACCUAGGCGACGAUACAUAGCCGACCUGAGAGGGUGAUCGGCCACACUGGGACUGAGACACGGCCCAGACUCCUACGGGAGGCAGCAGUAGGGAUUCUUCGGCAAUGGGGGCAACCCUGACCGAGCAACGCCGCGUGAGUGAAGAAGGUUUUCGGAUCGUAAAGCUCUGUUGUAAGUCAAGAACGGGUGUGAGAGUGGAAAGUUCACACUGUGACGGUAGCUUACCAGAAAGGGACGGCUAACUACGUGCCAGCCGCCGCAGUAAAAC